AAUUCCCGUUUUCAGAGGCUUAAGGGAAAUGACUUUAAUGCUCAUAAAAUGGCAGACGUUCUGUAGCAUGAAUGAAUGAAUGUUUUUGGUGGUGAGGCUGACUCCCUCAGAAGCAGACUCUGAGGUAAAGGUUUGAGGGGAGCCCCAGAAACACUGGCAGAGGUGUAGGGAAAUGAGAUAGGGAAGGGAAAGCAGCCAAGAGAAGACACGGUAAUGAGCAGGUUGUUGCCACGGGCAACUGGCCUCCGUGCCAGCGGGUCCCCUGGGAGACCGUGUGGAACACACCUCAGAAUUGUCCCACUUGAGGUGCGAGGCAGCAGCAUUUGAUCCCUACCUCCCCACUGUCAUUGCUUGAGGCUGCUCCUGGGGGGCAUGACCUGCAUAUUCUUUGCGUGGCCAAGCUUGCUCCUGAGACCAGGGGUUCUCAUGGACAGAGGGUCACAGGUGCUUGCCUGAGAAGCCUUUGGAUGUCAGCAGAAGUGAGGGCCCAGGGGACAGAGCGUCAUCCUUCUGCAUCUAUGAAGGGGUCCAGUUGGGCCUACCUACCUCACAGGAGAAGGCUUGGAAAGGAGAAGCAGAUUCUGGGGAGCACAUAGCCAGAGGAAGAAAAAACUAAGCCGAGAAACUCAUCUAGCGUGCACGUCAGAGCGGAACCAUACAUGCUUCCCUCUUCAAGAUUCUACGGAGAUAAACACUAUUAUCUUCAUUUCACCCACCAUUAUUACCUCCAUUCUACGGUGAGAAAAGUGACAUUCAGAUGGCCAGUCACAACCCUAAGUCACAGAGCUAGAAGACAGAGCUGGCAUUCCUGGUGGCCUGAGUUUCAAGCCCACAGGGAUUGAAAUAAACCUUUAGCACUGGAACCCCACCUAGGAAACGUCUACCUCUAGGAAAUGAAGUUUUGAGAGAUGCCGACUGAAUUUGUGAUCACUGAAUAAGAGCCAACUGGGCAUCAAAUCAGGGGUCAGGUGAACCUCAGGCAUUGAAUUCGUAACACCUGGACUUUGAGGGACCCAAUCUCCUAGGAGCUUGGGAUAAACUCACUCCACGCUCAGAGUCUAAAGGAAGGGACAAGUAAACCAGGUAGUAAGUCCCCUGGGACACAGUAAUGGAUUUGAGAGAGUCCCAUGACCUAAUCAGAGCCAGUGAGAAGCUAUGAGAGGCUUGCUGUCCAUUGCUACCCCAGGAGACUGAGGGGCUGCCAGAUAAAAUAGGGGGAGCCCGGUUAAAUUAGAAUUUCAGAUAAACAAUGCAUUAAAAAAAUUGUAAGGCAUAAGUAUGUCUCACUAAAUAUUUGGUGGUAUUUAACUUAUACUUAAAAAUUUAGUGGGGCAUACUUACACUAUAAAGGUAUUUCUUGUUUAUCUUAAAUUCAAAUUAAACUGACAUCCUGUGUUUCUGUUUGCUAAAUCUGGCAAUCCAUCAGAGGAAGUUAAGAGGACAGAUGGCUCCUGGUGACAUCAUCUGAGCCCUGAAUCAACUGUACCUGAAGCCAAACUACCCAUGCACUUGUAGCUGAAGGACUGCUAAGGAAUAUUCAGGACUUUCUCAAAAUCUUGGCCUUAGGAAGCUUGGAAAGAGAGCUUCUUAGGGGUGUCCUACACCUGCUUCUUCUCAGUGCUCAGUGUCCAGGGAUGAUAAGGCUUGUUGAACAACAGGCACUGCACCUCACUCCCUUUACAGUUUUGAGCAUCCACUGUGUGCCAGAUGCUGUACUGGAGCUCCAACUUCAGUUACUUCUCCCCACCCUUCAUAUGUGUUUGAGUUAGGUUCUAUCACACUCAUUUCCCAGAUGAGAAAACAGAGGUCUGGAAAGGUGACAUCCUUUACCUUAGAGCACAGGCUGAAAAAGUGAGAAACGGAGACCAUGGAACAGGCUCUCUCAUUCCCGCAGAGCCAAGGCCCUUCCUUUCCAGUUUACUGUCUCCCGGCCCCCACACCCUGCCUGCCAGUCAGCCCCUUGGAAGAACCCCAGUGUCAUCCAUGACCUUGGCUUCCUCUCUCAGCCCCCAAAAGACCCCCAUUAGCUACCCACCUCCUGCUUGAAACAAGCCGCUGAACAUCUGGAAGCCCUAGGAGGCCGUUUCUUUGACAACCUUUCAGGGCUCAUGGAAAUUCUUGCCUCAACUGCUGUGACGCGAGCAGCCCAGGUACACAGGCCCCUGGAGGCCAGACGGCUGGCAACAUCUGCUUCCAAUUACCCCAGGGAGGGACCUCACCGCCAGCCGCUGGUAACAGGAGCCCCUGGCCUCUGAUUUAUGGCCCAUUUGGAAUGAAGCCUCAGGAGCAAUUACUUGCUGGAUGGAGCCAGGCGAGGGGCGAGAGCUUUGCAGAGCAGAAAGCAGAUCUGACUUGCUGGGCUCCCUCCCCAGGCAGAGAAGAAUCAUCUAAUUUACCUACUCGGGGCAGUCCGUACGCGUGGAAUCCUACAGUACAUGGGCUUUGUGUCUGGCUUCUUUUCUUCAGCGUCAUGUUUCCAGAUUCACCUAGGUUGUGUUGCUGGUUCUUCACUCCUUUGUGUGACCAAGUAAUAUUCUGUGGUGUGGACAUACCGCAUUUCAGGUAUCCAUUCACCAGGUGACGGACACGGGGUUGCUCUCGCUGUUUGGCUUAUGAAUAAUGCCGCUGCAAACAUACGUGCCAUUUGUGUGGACCAUUCUGGUUUCCUGACAUACUGAGCAUGCUCUCCUAGCAGAGUCUUUAUCUUAGCUAUUCUCUCUUGCUGGGGGGGUGGGGGGUGGGGGGCGUUUCUCCUCCAGAUCUUCCUGGGACUCAACGCUCUCACUUCACUUCUCUGCUCACAUGUAACGUCAGAGGUCCUCCUCGACCACCCUCUCUGCUCAUCACCCCCUCUUCCCUUAUUCUGCUUUAGUUCUCUUUGACUGUCUCCCUAUCAGAAAUCACUAUUUUUUAUUUCUCCUCCUCCUCCUCCUCCUUCUUCUUCUUCCUCCUCCUCCUCUUCUUCUUUUUGAGAGAGAGAGAACAGUGGGGAGGAGGAGAGGGAGAGAGAGUGUGAAUCUUAAGCAGGCUCCAUCCCCAGUGUAGAGCCGGAUGUAGGGCUCUAUCUUAUGACCCUGAGAUCUUGACUUAAGCCAAAAUCAAGAGUCAGACACUUAACUGACUGCGCCACCCAGGUGCCCUGACAGAAAUCACUUUAUAUUGUUAUCUGCAUAUUUGAUUUUUCUCCCCCUGCAUGGAAGCUCCAUGAGGACAGGAACCCCAGUGGUCUUGUGCCCUGCCGGGCCCUCAGUGCUGGGCAUAUGGACAGUGCUCAAUCAGUAGACAGUCGACGAUGACAUGGAUCACCCAGGCCAUGCUCCAUGCCAGCGCUGGGCUUCUAGGUGGAGAGCAAGACAUGCCCUCUGGUUACCAGGGCUGCUCUGAUCAUUGCUCUACUAGCACCAUCUCGACUCGGCCUUUCUAAUUUCUUCCUAAGACAGCAGGGAAGACAGAGGAGUCGGCCGGUAAUCCACCAGGGUGCUGUGUAGGAUGGUAAGGCUUUUCAGAGGGAGCACUCCAGCUGGAAACGAAUGGGUUGUGACUACUUAGGAACUCUGUGAUGCGAGCAGUUCACUGUGUUUCUUUGCCUCAGUUUUCCCAACUGUCAAAUAGAAAAUCUCUUUACUGGCUGGCUGUGAGGGUUGUGUUAGUUAGGGUUCUUCAGAGAAACAGGACCAGUCGAAUAUAUAAGAUUUAGUGCAAGGAACUGGCCCCGGGGCUGGUGGGGGUGGAGGAGUCCAGGGGUCUGCUCUCUGGAGUUCGGAGACCUGGGAAAGCCGGGGGGUGUUCUGAGAACUGGAGGGCAGAUGGUGUGAGUCCCAUGUGAGGACGGGAGACCCGUCUCAGCUCGAGGAGUCACAAAUUUCCCCUUCCUUGGCUUUUUUGUCCUGUUACAGCCUUCCAGGGAUUGGAUGAGGCCCACCUCCACUGGGGAGGAGGACAAGCUGCUUUACUCAGGCUGAUGUUUUUAAAUGCUAAUCUCUUCUGGAAACAUCCUCACAGACAUGCCCAGAAAUAAUGUUUAAUCUGGAUACCCCAAGUCCCAAUUAAAUUGACACAGAAAAUUAAUUACCACCAGGGUAAAGUGAAGUAACGUGGGUGAAACAUUCAACGCAUGUUAGCUAUCUGUAUGUGGAUAAAUAGAACCAUCAGGAGAGCGGGGGAAGUGAGGAGGAUGCCAGGAAACGAGGCUGGAAGGCAAGGGGAGAGAAUCAAUGAGGGCUUUCUGGGGGAGGUGGCACCUAAGCUGGGCAAGUAGGAGGUAGCCCGGGGAACAUGACAUCCCUCCUCCUGCCUCACCUCCAGCUCAGGGCUGCCACAUGUAAGACGGAGACUGUAGGCAGACAUCCUGCCACCUCGGCUUCCCUGCUGGCAAGUCUGACAUUUGCCGGAAGGUUCCUGGGAGAAGAGGCAACAUGACAUGCCCGGCCCUGUCCCCCUAAACCAGCGCGGCCUGAUGGAAAUAGGAUGGAGCCACCUCUGUAACUCCCAUUUCCGAGGAGCCACAUUCAAG